CCCAAAUUUGUAUCAAAGCAUGAAACAAAUUCCACCCAUGGAGUGGCUUCUAUUCUUAACAAAAAUUGCCCUAUUAUAUUUAUCCAGAACCAUGUAAACUGGCCUGAUUCAGGAGAAACAGGAGAAACUUCUUAAUCAGUUCUU